UAGCUCAGCGGGUAAGAGCUUUUGUUUUGAGAGCAAGAGGGCUUGAGUUCAAAUCUCUA
rnacentral:tRNA from 1 species